rnacentral:rRNA from 1 species
GACGAACGUUGGCGGCGUGCUUAAUACAUGCAAGUCAACUGAAGCACCGGUAGUAAUAUUGGUGUGGAGGUGGCGCACGGGUGAGUAACACGUAGGUAAUCUGCCUUCAGGUCUGACAUAACCCCGAGAAAUCGGGGCGUAAUAGCAGAUGAUGCAGCGGCUUGACAUCAAGACAGUUGUUAAAGCUUCGGCGCCUGAAGAUGAGCCUGCGUCNGAUUAGCUAGUUGGCGGAGUAACAGCCCACCAAGGCUACGAUCAGUAGCUGGUCUGAGAGGAUGAUCAGCCACACUGGAACUGAGACACGGUCCAGACUCCUACGGGAGGCAGCAGUAAGGAAUAUUGCUCAAUGGGAGAAAUCCUGAAGCAGCAACGCCGCGUGAGGGAUGAAGGGCUUUUGUCUUGUAAACCUCUGUAGUGAGAAGAAAAAACUACC